UCCCUUCCCAGUGCUGCUACACAGGGUGGCAGCUUCCCCUCUCUGAGAUUUAAGUUCCUCAGCUCACUGCAAUCUCCGCCUCCCGGGUUCAGGCGAUUCUCCUGCCUCAGCCUCCCGAGCAGCUGGGAUUACAGGCACCUGCCACCACGCCUGGCUAAUUUUUUUGUAUUUUUAGUAGAGAUGGGGUUUCACCAUGUUGGCCAGGCUGGUCUCGAACUCCUGACCUCAGGCAAUCAGCCCGCCUCGACCUCCCAAAAUGCUGGGAUUACAGGCGUGCGNNNNNNNNNNGAUUACAGGCGUGAGCCACUGCACCUGGCCCCUUUCCUACACACAGGGCUAUUUGGAAGAGCACGUGAGUUAGCAUGCAUUCAUUCAUUAAUUUAAUAAUGUAUGUAUGUUGAAAGCCUUGGUAAACUGCAGAAUGCUCUGCAAAUGUAAGGAAUUAUAAGUAAUAACUUCUGGUUUGUUUACAUAAAACCAAAACCAGUUCCAAUGCUUUACAGCCAUGGAUAAUUUUCAAAAAUGAAAGGAUUGUGAAGCUCAAGGCUGGAAAAUGUAGACUGGAUGUAACUAGGAGUGCAAACCAUGACCUAUCCCACACACCUUCAACCAGGGCCACAUUAGCCAUCCAUCCUUGGUGUUCUCACAGCUCUCUGGGCAUAUUUUCUGCCUGGGUACACACGUGGUUUAGAGCUGCUUAUGCACCUGUCUCUCCCAUUAGUCUGGGAGCUACUCAAGGGUCAUAGGAACCAUGUCUGAUUAAUCUCGGCACCCCCAUCAUCUGGUCCAGAGCCUAACCCAGAGCAGGGGCUAAGACAGGCUUGCUGGUAACUGAAUUUUUACAAGGGCCUGUGUACUACGCCAUGCAUAGCAUGUUCUAUCCAACUGGUGUUUUGGGGGAUUUUCUUCUUCUUCGCCUUUCUUUCCCCCUGUUGAAUACCUUCUGUGUUUCUGGAAUUUCAGAAACAUAUACUGCCAAACUUCUACUGUCCCAUCUUCCAGAAAGGGCUGGGAUAAAGGGAAGAGUCAAGAAAUAGGCCAGAGCUAGAGUGCAUUCCUUCUGUCAUGUGAGGAUGAGACUACAACUCAGACCUCCUGAUACCCAUACUUGGAGGCUCUCCCUACUCCCACAUGAGUUGUUCUCCUAAUUUUGUUAGGAAUAAUCGCAGCCACAAACGGAUGAUAUCAGAGGUGUCAAACAGUAAGGCAGGAGCAUCUCUCAGAGGAAAACAUUCACUGAACCUGCCUAGCAGAGCUAGUUUAUGUCAUGUAUCACACCAUUAAGCUUUGGAGCAGGAAGGGCCCUCAG
rnacentral:lncRNA from 1 species